rnacentral:lncRNA from 1 species
AUUUAUAUUUACGAUAUACGUAAUGUUCUCGUUGGUAUUUUCUUACUCUAUUUUUAUAAUAUAUAACUCACAAGUGACACUCAAAGCUAACAACUCUCGAUAUGAUGUAAUAAAACUUCAUAAAUAUGCGUGGGAUGCUUGAACUUUAAUCCAACUCAUAUAAAUAACCGAACUUUACCAAAUUGUAAAGCCUGUGCCAAGAUAGCAUCACAUACAAAUAUUUUGAUAUUUAAUCCUUUUUAAACACAAAUCUGUCUUUUUUUAUACAGUUACAUCUACAAUGGUAUUGAACAGAACAUAUAGUAAUGUCUUUUUCUUCUGGAUGCCGAUGCUUGAGCAGUCAAUAUUAUUCCUCUUC